rnacentral:rRNA from 1 species
UGGGGAAUAUUGGACAAUGGGGGAAACCCUGAUCCAGCGACGCCGCGUGAGUGAAGAAGUGUUUCGGCAUGUAAAGCUCUAUCAGCAGGGAAGAAAAUGACGGUACCUGACUAAGAAGCCCCGGCUAACUACGUGCCAGCAGCCGCGGUAAUACGUAGGGGGCAAGCGUUAUCCGGAUUUACUGGGUGUAAAGGGAGCGUAGACGGCGAUGCAAGUCUGGAGUGAAAGCCCGGGGCUCAACCCCGGGACUGCUUUGGAAACUGUGUUGCUAGAGUGCAGGAGAGGUAAGUGGAAUUCCUAGUGUAGCGGUGAAAUGCGUAGAUAUUAGGAGGAACACCAGUGGCGAAGGCGGCUUACUGGACUGUAACUGACGUUGAGGCUCGAA